rnacentral:rRNA from 1 species
GGUUAAGCGACUAAGCGUACACGGUGGAUGCCCUGGCAGUCAGAGGCGAUGAAGGACGUGCUAAUCUGCGAAAAGCGUCGGUAAGGUGAUAUGAACCGUUAUAACCGGCGAUGUCCGAAUGGGGAAACCCAGUGCAAUUCGUUGCACUAUCGUUAACUGAAUACAUAGGUUAACGAGGCGAACCGGGGGAACUGAAACAUCUAAGUACCCCGAGGAAAAGAAAUCAACCGAGAUUCCCCCAGUAGCGGCGAGCGAACGGGGAGCAGCCCAGAGUCUGAAUCAGCUUGUGUGUUAGUGGAACGGUCUGGAAAGUCCGACGGUACAGGGUGAUAGUCCCGUACACCAAAAUGCACAGGCUGUGAACUCGAAGAGUAGGGCGGGACACGUGGUAUCCUGUCUGAAUAUGGGGGGACCAUCCUCCAAGGCUAAAUACUCCUGACUGACCGAUAGUGAACCAGUACCGUGAGGGAAAGGCGAAAAGAACCCCGGCGAGGGGAGUGAAAAAGAACCUGAAACCGUGUACGUACAAGCAGUGGGAGCACCUUCGGGUGUGACUGCGUACCUUUUGUAUAAUGGGUCAGCGACUUAUAUUCUGUAGCAAGGUUAACCGUAUAGGGGAGCCGCAGGGAAACCGAGUCUUAACUGGGCGUUAAGUUGCAGGGUAUAGACCCGAAACCCGGUGAUCUAGCCAUGGGCAGGUUGAAGGUUGGGUAACACUAACUGGAGGACCGAACCGACUAAUGUUGAAAAAUUAGCGGAUGACUUGUGGCUGGGGGUGAAAGGCCAAUCAAACCGGGAGAUAGCUGGUUCUCCCCGAAAGCUAUUUAGGUAGCGCCUCGUGAAUUCAUCUUCGGGGGUAGAGCACUGUUUCGGCUAGGGGGUCAUCCCGACUUACCAACCCGAUGCAAACUACGAAUACCGAAGAAUGUUAUCACGGGAGACACACGGCGGGUGCUAACGUCCGUCGUGAAGAGGGAAACAACCCAGACCGCCAGCUAAGGUCCCAAAGUCAUGGUUAAGUGGGAAACGAUGUGGGAAGGCACAGACAGCCAGGAUGUUGGCUUAGAAGCAGCCAUCAUUUAAAGAAAGCGUAAUAGCUCACUGGUCGAGUCGGCCUGCGCGGAAGAUGUAACGGGGCUAAACCAUGCACCGAAGCUGCGGCAGCGACACUAUGUGUUGUUGGGUAGGGGAGCGUUCUGUAAGCCUGCGAAGGUGUGCUGUGAGGCAUGCUGGAGGUAUCAGAAGUGCGAAUGCUGACAUAAGUAACGAUAAAGCGGGUGAAAAGCCCGCUCGCCGGAAGACCAAGGGUUCCUGUCCAACGUUAAUCGGGGCAGGGUGAGUCGACCCCUAAGGCGAGGCCGAAAGGCGUAGUCGAUGGGAAACAGGUUAAUAUUCCUGUACUUGGUGUUACUGCGAAGGGGGGACGGAGAAGGCUAUGUUAGCCGGGCGACGGUUGUCCCGGUUUAAGCAUGUAGGCUGGUUGUCCAGGCAAAUCCGGAUAAUCAAGGCUGAGGUGUGAUGACGAGGCACUACGGUGCUGAAGUAACAAAUGCCCUGCUUCCAGGAAAAGCCUCUAAGCAUCAGGUAACAUCAAAUCGUACCCCAAACCGACACAGGUGGUCAGGUAGAGAAUACCAAGGCGCUUGAGAGAACUCGGGUGAAGGAACUAGGCAAAAUGGUGCCGUAACUUCGGGAGAAGGCACGCUGGUGUGUAGGUGAAGUCCCUGCGGAUGGAGCUGAGACCAGUCGAAGAUACCAGCUGGCUGCAACUGUUUAUUAAAAACACAGCACUGUGCAAACACGAAAGUGGACGUAUACGGUGUGACGCCUGCCCGGUGCCGGAAGGUUAAUUGAUGGGGUUAUCCGUAAGGAGAAGCUCUUGAUCGAAGCCCCGGUAAACGGCGGCCGUAACUAUAACGGUCCUAAGGUAGCGAAAUUCCUUGUCGGGUAAGUUCCGACCUGCACGAAUGGCGUAAUGAUGGCCAGGCUGUCUCCACCCGAGACUCAGUGAAAUUGAACUCGCUGUGAAGAUGCAGUGUACCCGCGGCAAGACGGAAAGACCCCGUGAACCUUUACUAUAGCUUGACACUGAACAUUGAGCCUUGAUGUGUAGGAUAGGUGGGAGGCUUUGAAGCGUGGACGCCAGUCUGCGUGGAGCCAACCUUGAAAUACCACCCUUUAAUGUUUGAUGUUCUAACGUUGGCCCCUUACCGGGGUUGCGGACAGUGUCUGGUGGGUAGUUUGACUGGGGCGGUCUCCUCCCAAAGCGUAACGGAGGAGCACGAAGGUUAGCUAAUCCUGGUCGGACAUCAGGAGGUUAGUGCAAUGGCAUAAGCUAGCUUGACUGCGAGCGUGACGGCGCGAGCAGGUGCGAAAGCAGGUCAUAGUGAUCCGGUGGUUCUGAAUGGAAGGGCCAUCGCUCAACGGAUAAAAGGUACUCCGGGGAUAACAGGCUGAUACCGCCCAAGAGUUCAUAUCGACGGCGGUGUUUGGCACCUCGAUGUCGGCUCAUCACAUCCUGGGGCUGAAGUAGGUCCCAAGGGUAUGGCUGUUCGCCAUUUAAAGUGGUACGCGAGCUGGGUUUAGAACGUCGUGAGACAGUUCGGUCCCUAUCUGCCGUGGGCGCUGGAGAAUUGAGGGGGGCUGCUCCUAGUACGAGAGGACCGGAGUGGACGCAUCACUGGUGUUCGGGUUGUCAUGCCAAUGGCACUGCCCGGUAGCUAAAUGCGGAAGAGAUAAGUGCUGAAAGCAUCUAAGCACGAAACUUGUCCCGAGAUGAGUUCUCCCUGAGACUUUAAGUCUCCUGAAGGAACGUUAAAGACGAUGACGUUGAUAGGCCGGGUGUGUAAGCGCAGCGAUGCGUUGAGCUAACCGGUACUAAUGAACCGUGAGGCUUAACCUU